rnacentral:ribozyme from 1 species
ACCACACCAGCAUCUACGGCGCGCUUCAGUACUUCCCCCUCGGCCACGUCGGCCUCUUCGUGGCCGCCUCGGCGUUGCUCCCUCGCGCCGCGCUGCUCGUGGCCUCGGCCCCGGCC